UGGGGAAUAUUGGACAAUGGGCGCAAGCCUGAUCCAGCCAUGCCGCGUGAGUGAUGAAAGGCCCUAGGGUUGUAAAGCUCUUUCGCCAGGGACGAUAAUGACGGUACCUGGAUAAGAAGCCCCGGCUAACUUCGUGCCAGCAGCCGCGGUAAUACGAAGGGGGCUAGCGUUGUUCGGAAUCACUGGGCGUAAAGCGCACGUAGGCGGAUCUUUAAGUCAGGGGUGAAAUCCCGAGGCUCAACCUCGGAACUGCCUUUGAUACUGGAGGUCUCGAGUUCGGGAGAGGUGAGUGGAACUGCGAGUGUAGAGGUGAAAUUCGUAGAUAUUCGCAAGAACACCAGUGGCGAAGGCGGCUCACUGGCCCGAUACUGACGCUGAGGUGCGAAAGCGUGGGGAGCAAAACAGGAUUAGAUACCCUGGUAGUCCACGCCGUAAAACGAUGGAUGCUAGCCGUUGGGGAGCUUGCUCUUCAGUGGCGCAGCUAACGCUUUAAGCAUCCCGCCUGGGGAGUACGGUCGCAAGAUUAAAACCUUAAAUGAAUUGAC
rnacentral:rRNA from 1 species